rfam:Ictidomys tridecemlineatus contig099824, whole genome shotgun sequence.
GUAGGUAUAGCUCAGUGAUAGAACAUUUGCCUAGCAUGCAAAAGGCCCGGGUGGAAUCCCCAGUACCACA